rnacentral:rRNA from 1 species
UACGUAGGGUGCGAGCGUUAAUCGGAAUUACUGGGCGUAAAGCGUGCGCAGGCGGUUGUGUAAGACAGAUGUGAAAUCCCCGGGCUCAACCUGGGAACUGCAUUUGUGACUGCACGGCUGGAGUGCGGCAGAGGGGGAUGGAAUUCCGCGUGUAGCAGUGAAAUGCGUAGAUAUGCGGAGGAACACCGAUGGCGAAGGCAAUCCCCUGGGCCUGCACUGACGCUCAUGCACGAAAGCGU